AAAAGUAAGAAAGGGCGUAUGGCGGAUGCCUAGGCUCACGGAGGCGAUGAAGGACGUGAUAAGCUGCGAUAAGCUCUGGGUAGGUGCAAAUAACCUUUGAUCCGGGGAUUUCCGAAUGGGACAACCUGGCCGUCUGAAGGACGGUCAUCCUGACCCAGAGUCAGGAGGCUAACGCAGGGAACUGAAACAUCUUAGUACCUGCAGGAAGAGAAAAUAAAUAAUGAUUCCCCCAGUAGUGGCGAGCGAACGGGGAACAGCCCAAACCGCAGACGUCGCAAGGCGCCGGCGGGGUUGUAGGACCGCGACAUUGUAUUGCGAUGGCGAGUGGAAGUAUCUGGAAAGUUACAUCAUAGAAGGUGACAGUCCUGUACACGAAGCCAAAUCAAGCAUAGCGGUAUCCUGAGUAACGCGGGACACGAGGAAUCCUGCGCGAAUCUGCCGGGACCAUCCGGUAAGGCUAAAUACUCCCGUGAGACCGAUAGCGAACGAGUACUGUGAAGGAAAGGUGAAAAGAACCCCGAGCAGGGGAGUGAAAUAGUUCCUGAAACCAUACGCCUACAAGCGGUCGGAGCACAGCAAUGUGUGACGGCGUGCCUUUUGCAUAAUGAUCCUACGAGUUACCGUCACUGGCGAGGUUGAGUGUCACGAGACACGUAGCCGCAGUGAAAGCGAGCCUGAAUAGGGCGCACAGUCAGUGGGGGUAGACGCGAAACCAAGUGAUCUACACUUGGCCAGGAUGAAGUCCCGGUAACACGGGAUGGAGGUCCGCACCAAUAAGCGUUGAAAAGCUUCUGGAUGAGCCGAGUGUAGGAGUGAAAGGCCAAUCAAACUUGGAGAUAGCUCGUACUCCCCGAAAGGCAUUUAGGUGCCGCGUCGGAUGGUCACCGUGAGAGGUAGAGCGACCGAUAGGACAAGAGGGCUUCACCGCCUAUCGAGUCCUGACGAACUCCGAAUGCUCACGGUCUGCAGUCCGGCAGUAAGGGGGCGGGUGCUAAGGUCCGUCCCCGAGAGGAGAAGAAUCCAGACCGCCGUCUAAGGUCCCGGAGUUCUGCCUGAGUUAGUCUAACGAAGUCUGGUCCCAGUGACAGCUAGGAUGUUGGCUUGGAAGCAGCCAUUCAUUCAAAGAGUGCGUAACAGCUCACUAGUCGAGGGUCCGGGCAUGGAUAAUAAUCGGGUAUAAGGCAGACACCGAAGGCGCGGGAUAGCAUUUAAGAAAGUAUCGGUAGGGGAGCAUACUCACAGCGUCGAAUGGUGUACGUAAGUUAUCCUGGAGCGGUGAGUAAAGCAAAUGUAGGAAUAAGUAACGAUAAGGAGGGUUAGAUUCCCUCCCGCUGUAAGACCAAGGUUUCCCGGGCAAUGCCAAUCAGCCCGGGGUCAGUCGGGUCCUAAGUCUAAGCCGAACGGCGAUGGCGAUGGCAGAGACGGUUAAUAUUCCGUCACUGCCGCAUGGGGCGACGUGGAGACGGAGCAGUGAAACCACCGCGGGGCGACGGAAGUCCCCGUUGAAGAGUGUAGGUGUUGAGGAUGGCAGGCAAAUCCACCAUCCGAGCUGAACUUGAUAGUAUGGAGUCUUCUUCGGAAGAAUCCAAUAGUGUGGGUAAUCAUACUCCCGAGAAAAUCCGCUAAGCUUAACCCAUGCGGCACCCGUACCGCAAACGGACACACGUGGUCGGGUAGAACAUACUAAGGCGUUGAGAGAUUCAUGGUUAAGGAACUAGGCAAAUUGACCCUGUAACUUCGGGAUAAAGGGUCCUCGUGAUGAGCGAGGCGCAGAGAAUAGGUCCAGGCAACUGUUUAACAAAAACACAGGGCUGUGCAAACUCGAAAGAUGAAGUAUACAGCCUGACACCUGCCCGGUGCCGGAAGGUUAAGAGGAGAUGUCACUCGCAAGAGGAAGCAUUGAAUUGAAGCCCCGGUAAACGGCGGCCGUAACUAUAACGGUCCUAAGGUAGCGAAAUUCCUUGUCGGGU
rnacentral:rRNA from 1 species